UCAAAUAUCCAAAUCAAACUCAAAAGCUCUCACCUCUCUCUACUUUCUAUCUCUGUCAUCCUCCAUUGAAGAAGCUUUGAAGGUUGAAAAAGAAGACCAAAUCCUCCAAAGUUCUACUCAAAUUUCGUGGCUAUUCAUUUUUAAGUAUGAAGGUUCUUGGAAGAGACAAAGAGGUGCAGGUCAGAGAGCAGAUUG